rnacentral:rRNA from 1 species
AUGGACUCACGGCGGCGCGCCGAGCUCCUGGCGAGCCUCUCGCCGGAAGGUCGGGCGACGUAUGAGGUACUCAGGGCCCAGCUAGCCUGUGAUCUGGGCCAUGUCUUCCCCGACGCCAAGCACGGCCCCGACCUGGCGUUUUCGACUUCGUUAACAACGCGCUCGGCCAAGCCUCUGUGCGUCUCGAGCAGCGGCAUCACAACCGACGGUUCCCAUGAAUCAGAGGUUGCCACCUCCUCCACCAACCCCGCUCCAGCAGCGGCGGCAGCGGCCAGGGGCAUCUCCGUGUCGAGCGCGACUUCCGCCGCCCCCGCAUCAUGCGGCGUCACCUCCCUCGUCGCGUCGGCCUCCAACUGCUCGACGAGCCCAGGAGGAGACAACGGUGCGGCACCAGACACCACUCCUCCGGUGUCCACGGGUCCAAUCGGCGUGCCUGCGUCCACCAUGCAGAGCGAGGCGGACCAGGUGCUUGAGACGCCCGUCACCUGUUCGACAUUGGGCCUCUACCCCGUCGCCAGCACCACCCAUGUCAACAAGGUGCCCCUAUCCAACCUCGUUGUGUCCCCAUCACGAUCCUACUCCACCUCCACCUGCAUGGCAGUCGUGUCCGUCUCAGAUGCUUCAGAACUUGCCCUCGCCAUGCCCACCAUGUGCUCGACCGAGUGGCCAGGAGGGGACACUAAUGCAGCGAGGACAGUUCUUUCUCCAACGGCAGCGCCUGGAAGGUGUUUGACAGAAGGUGUAGACGAAGACACCAGCGCGAAGUCGCCAGAAUCUGCACUAGGCAUGUGUCUGCCGACCAUAGUACCUCUGGCCUCUUUCCACUCCAAUCUUAUGCCACUAGCUGAUGCAAAUUUGAGGUGUACUCAUGUCGAGAAGGCCAACAUGUUCCAGUUGCUCAACAGAAGUGACAACAUUCAGGUCAGCAAGGAGCAGGACAAGUCACCAUUAGUACCCUGUUUAGUUCAUGCCAUUGCUACACGGGCAGCAUCUCGGUUUCAACUUCAGUAUUUCUGUGAGAACUUAGGUAUGUGUGAGCAUCCUUAUUUUCAGUGUUGCAUGUGUGCACCCUCACCAUGGGAUCCAGGAAGGCAGAUAAACAAGUUAGGAGGCCUAGUUAUGAACAGAAAUUAUGUGUCGAUUGUCUUGCGGCCGUCACGUCCACCUGAUCGAACAGAGCUUACUGACAUGAUCCCAAGUUUGUUGUUGCCUCUGGAGGUGUCUCAAACGCAGAGCAAUUUUCAGCAGAGCAAUUUGUUUCUGCAAGAUCAGGGGACUUGGUGUGAGAAGCAGUACAGUAGCUGCAAAAAGAUGAUAUGUGAAGAGGCAACACAAUAUGGUUUGGAAUCUUUUCCUUGGUACAUUGCAUGGUUACAUUUUGGGCUAGAGUUGUUGUUAUUUGGAGACACGUAUUAUUUCCUUGCAGCCUUGUUUCUAACUGUACCACAUGAAGGUAACUACUGUUUUGCUAUCAGUUUUGCCUUACAUACAACAAGUUCUGCCAAAAAAUAUUCCCAAGUUGUUGCUGAGAAGUGGAUUUCCUACUGUGAGUUUUUUUGCAAUCAACAUGUUUUGGUCAUAUCAGCAAGUAAUUCGUGCCCUUGGACUGCUAUCAUCUGA